rnacentral:rRNA from 1 species
UACGUAUGGGGCAAGCGUUGUUCGGAAUUACUGGGCGUAAAGGGCGCGUAGGCGGCAUGGCAAGUCAGGAGUGAAAGGCCUGGGCUCAACCGAGGAACUGCUUUUGAUACUGCCAAGCUAGAGUGCGGAAGGGGCAACUGGAAUUCCCAGUGUAGCGGUGAAAUGCGUAGAUAUUGGGAAGAACACCUGAGGCGAAGGCGGGUUGCUGGGCCGACACUGACGCUGAGACGCGAAAGCGUGGAGAGCGAACCGG